CGCCCCCACGGGCCGCGUCUCCACCCGCUCCCCUCCCCCACUGCGAUGCUUUCUCAGCCUCAUCUUCGCGGUUGGUUCCUGCUGCUUCUUGUCCCUAUGCUUUUUUGUACAGUCCCUGUGGCUCGGAGUUGACCAAACGUAGUGAAUGCAGUUAGCACCAAAGGCCGGCCCACCCUGCCCUCAGCGUCAUUCCCGCCUUUUGAGGUUGCUGGGACCGCCUGCACUGCAGCCGCCUCCUCCCUCAGAUUUUCAGCUACUGAUGUUACAAACAGUAAAAUAUUGGAACAUAGACUUGAGGAAAAGACUUAAAUCAGAUUUGUCUUCUGUUAGUUAAAAAUAUGGAUCCUGAAGCAGAGGGACCAGCAAUUAUCACGGUGACACCUCUUCAACAAAUGCUUGCCUCUUGUACAGGAGCUAUACUGACAUCACUGAUGGUGACACCCUUUGAUGUUGUUAAAAUUCGACUCCAAGCCCAAAACAACCCAUUCUCCAAAGGAAAAUGCUUUGUGUAUAGUAAUGGACUUAUGGAUCACCUAUGUAUCUGUGAAGAAGAAGGCAACAAAGCAUGGUAUAAGAAGCCAGGACGUUUCCAGGGAACGCUGGAUGCCUUUUUGAAAAUCAUUCGAAAUGAAGGCAUUAAAUCCCUGUGGAGCGGCCUUCCUCCUACCUUAGUGAUGGCAGUUCCUGCCACAGUUAUUUAUUUUACCUGCUAUGAUCAAUUAACUGCUCUUCUGAGAUCUAAAUUAGGAGAAAAUGAAAGCAGCAUACCAGUUGUUGCUGGAAUUGUGGCCAGACUUGGUGCAGUAACUGUAAUAAGUCCACUGGAAUUGAUUAGAACCAAGAUGCAGUCUAAGACAUUUUCUUACAAGGAACUGCAUCAAUUUGUCAGCCGGAAAGUAUCUGAAGAUGGUUGGAUUUCCCUCUGGAGGGGUUGGGCUCCUACUGUUCUUAGAGAUGUGCCAUUCUCAGCACUGUACUGGUAUAACUAUGAAGUUUUAAAGAAGUGGUUGUGUGCAAAAUCUGGUUUAUAUGAACCAACAUUUAUGAUCACUUUUACUUCAGGAGCAUUGUCUGGUUCUUUUGCAGCUGUUGUAACUUUGCCAUUUGAUGUGGUAAAAACACAAAAGCAGACACAACUUUGGACAUAUGAAAGUCAUAAAAGUAAGUUUAAUUAAUAUAAAACAUUUUCAGGAUGCCAUGAAUAUUUUUAUUUUUCUUUCCAGAUACUAGGUUAGGAAUAUCUAAAAGAGGGAAAAUAAGAUUUUUUUUGCAUUUUUUUGCAUUUUGUACCCACAGCAUAUCAAAGUUCCCAGGCUAGGGGUCUAAUUGGAGCUACAGCUGCCAGCCACAGCCACAGCCAUGCCAGAUCUGAGAUGUGUCUUCGACCUGCACCACAGCUCACGGCAACACUGGAUCCUUAACCCACUGAGUGAGGCCAGGGAUUGAACCCUCAUCCUCAGUCAGAUUCAUUUCUGCUGAGGCACGAAGGGAACUCCCUUUGUUGCCUUACUGUUUAACUCAUACUAAUAUACUGUUAGAGUGGAAUAUCCAGAAAAAAAUACUUUAAACCUAAACAAAAAUUUUAAGAAAUCUUAAUGUCUAUGUAUUUUACCUGCCAUCAGUUAAUUCUCACACCUGCUAUACAGAAGAUUAAAUUCUGUAGGUAUUCUUUCAGUUAAAUCUAGGCAAAUCAUGAAGGAUAGGAAAUUACUGGAAAGCCUUUUUUCUCUUGAUGUGUUUCAUUAGUAUGCUUCUACAUUUUCUUCCUCUUUUUAAUUUUUAUCUUCCAUUUUGAUGUGUUUUUGUCUACCGCUUAUCCUAUCUACUUUUAAUUCUUUAUAACCUGUAAUUUCUUGUAGAAUAAAAAUGUACUUUUAGCUGAUUCUACUAGAUUCUGUCAUUAUUAUCAUAGAAGGUGUAGCAAACCCAUUGGAAAUGGAACUUUGUUUCUGAAACAUAACAGUUGUUAGGAUUUGAUAAAUUUGGAUGGUCAGUAAAUUGGUGUUUAUUGUUGUCCAUGCUUGAAAUAUUUAAUAAUGAAGUCGUAUUUUCUUACAGUGUAAGAAGUUACUUGUGCAUCAAAAAAUAGCUUUUUGAUGUUGGAUCUUUAGGCAGAAGAUACUUUCAAGGUUUGAUUAGAGCUCUGCCGUAGCUUACCUCCAGUUGAUAAUUUUUUUUUUUUUUGUUAAUUCUCUUUUACAUUAAUUUCCCCUGCUGUUAAAAUAGAGACCAGUUUGGGGCUUGAGUCUAUAAUGCUAGAAGUACCCAGCUACUUGGCUUCCUUUAUUUUGCCAAUUGUUAAUGGAAUUUCAAUGGAAUAAUUUAAACAUGAAGUAUAAGUUAUCAACUUGUAGUAUAUGGUUUUUAUUGUUGACUUUUUAAAGAAAGUUAAAUUUCACUGGUAAGUCUUUGUUCUUGGUUUUAAAAUGUGUCCUUUCUGUUGAGUUGUUGUAAUUAUUAUAUUUAUGCUUAUAUUUAUGUUGCUAGUUUAACUUCUUAAAUAUAUCACAAGGCCUCAUUUAUCUUCAUAGUCAGAGAAUCUGAUACUUUUUAUAAAAUUAAGAUAAUGAGCCCCUCAUUUUUAGUGGAAAAUUCUAAAAAAAUUUUGAAAGGUAUCUUUUUCUAAUCUUUCCCUUUUUCCUACACAUGCUUAAUAGUAUGUCAUCUUUCUUAAUGACUCAGCGUUGUCAUCAUUGUGCACAUUGCUUACUUAGAGCUUCAUAAUGCAGCUUUCAGAAGCCAGUGAGGAUAACAUAGGAGUGUUUGCCUAUCAACCACUGGUCUCAGACCAAGACUUUGAAAUCCUCAGGUAUCACAGUGUUCACAUGGUAGCAUGCUUGCUUCUUAGCAGAUUUUUUUCUCAUGUACUGCAUCUAGUAGUCUGUGGGCUAAGCCAGCUGCUUAGAAUCAUUGUAUAAAAUGAAGGUAAAUGGAACUUUGUGAAUGAACAGCUCAUUCAUGACUUCAUGUCUGAACUUUACUGCCGGCUAUUUUUGCUGUUUUCAAAAAAUAUAUAAAUUAAUUUUUUACUGUGUUCCAGAUAUUUGAGUCGUUGCAAAUAAUUGAGAUGUUACUGUUAAAGGAUAAAUCUUUCCUUUGGAGGAGAAAGGGCUGAUCUAAUUCAUUUCAAGACUGGCACAUCUCUUCGGAAAAGUUUUAAUAAAGCAGGACCUCACUAGGGAGAAUGAGCUAUUUUCCUUAAAACCUCUUUUUGGAAAAAAAAUUUUUUUAAUAUGUGCAAUAAAAAUUUAAUGAAAAAUGGUUACAAGGUCUUCACUUUGGCUUUGGGAACCCCAUGAAGAUCUGUACAUCUUUAAAAUUUUUCAUUGUGAAAGAUUUUCAAGAUGGAGAGAAAGUAUAAAGGAUACACACCACCAAGCUCAAGAAAUAAACAUCAAUUCAGGAGAAGCCUUUGUUUCUAUGCCUUGGCAAAUGUCAACUUGGGCUAUAAUGAAGAACAUUGUUGCUAAGGAUGGGUUUUCUGGAUUAUUUACAGGCCUAAUUCCUCGCUUAAUUAAAAUUGCUCCUGCUUGUGCUAUUAUGAUCAGUACAUAUGAAUUUGGAAAGUCAUUUUUCCAGAAACAAAAUGCUCGAAGACAGCAGUACUAGAGCGCUGUUUCAACUUGAAACAACAACCAUGAUCAAUAAUAAGAUGGAGAAUAUUAGGCAAGAGCUUUUUUCACCAUUAUCUUUCAAUCAUUUUAUGUCUUUCUUAUUUAUAAGUGAAUAGUAAAUUUCUACUUUAGAUUUAAAUCAAAUCCUAGUUUUAAGAUAAAUUUUUUAUCCUAAAUUUUGAGGUAUUGGAAAAGAUAUUUUAGAAAUCGUAACCAAUGAACACCCUAGUAAAGAAAAAUUAUUCCUUAGCAUUGAGAGCAAUAAUCUCUGAGAGUUGAUGCUGAUUUCAGUGUAACUUUAUCCUACUGGGAGUGUGUCAGAUACGCCAGAACAUUUUGAUUGUGUGCUGAUUGAAGUACAGAGUAUAGAAGAAAAAUUCCCAAGUCUUUAUGCACAUUUGAAUCGUGGACAUAGAUAUUUAGGUAUUUCAGCAAAGUAGAUAACAGAAGGCAGUCUUUCAAUAGAAUUAUUCAUGUUUACCAAAUAUUACCUAUUAUUUUCUUUAAACAUACACUUGGUAUUUUAUUUUUUAACUUUGUUAACUUUUAAAGGCCUCAUGUGUAUUAGGAUUUCCCUAAUCAAAAGUAUGGCUUUUUUUAUCUUCAUGAACCAAAAAUAUAAUUUGUGUGUCAAUGCUGCUGUUUUUGAUGAUCAAAGACCCUGUAUUACCUACUUUUUGUGCAAGACAGAGGGAGCUUUACUGACCAUAUUAAAUGUUCACUUCAGUCAAAUUUGGGUGUGCAGUAGGAAACCAUGCUGUAUUUAGUAAAAAUGAUAUUUCAGCACAGGAAGAGUCUGGUUUCAGCCAUCUUGCAAUUCAAGACCACCCUUUGUGGAGUUCUCUAGGUCGCUUCUGUUGGCUUGUUCUAACAAAACAGAUUAUUAAUAUGGUAUCAGUCAUAAAAUAUUUCCAAAAUGUCCCUUGAUUUUACAUAUCUCACAUCAUAUGCUAGACUUAGAACUAAGCAGGCAGCAGUCUCCUUGAAGAAAGAGCUUUCGGUCACUGUAGGCUAAUAAUGUUUGAUUAAUUUAGUUAUGAAUGUAGGAAUAGAAUAAAAAGGAUACGAUUUCAAGAAACAAAAUAUUUUUGAUUUUCUCAGGAUCUGUAACCUGUAAGAGGAAGCACUUUAUUGCAGUCUAUGUAUAUUCUAUGAAAAUAUGAGGCAUUUUUCCCCCUAAAACAUAGUUAAUAUAUUUAAGCAACAAAUCUUCUCUAGUGUUGGUUGAAGAAUCAAUGUAUUUUCUAUUACAUUAGAAAACUUUCACCAGAAAUAAACUGUAUAGGGUUUGUA